rnacentral:rRNA from 1 species
UACGAAGGGGGCUAGCGUUGUUCGGAAUUACUGGGCGUAAAGCGCACGUAGGCGGAUACUUAAGUCAGGGGUGAAAUCCCGGGGCUCAACCCCGGAACUGCCUUUGAUACUGGGUAUCUCGAGUCCGGAAGAGGUGAGUGGAAUUCCGAGUGUAGAGGUGAAGUUCGUAGAUAUUCGGAGGAACACCAGUGGCGAAGGCGGCUCACUGGUCCGGUACUGACGCUGAGGUGCGAAAGCGUGGGGAGCAAACAGG